CCCUAUGAGUAGUUUAAAUGGCCGCAGUACUUUGACUGUGCAAAGGUAGCAUAAUCACUUGUCUCUUAAUUGGGGGCUGGAAUGAAAGAGGCGACGAAAUUCAAACUAUUAAAUUUAAGUGUGAAAUUAACAUAAAGGUCAAAAGGCCUUUAUAUAUCAAAGGGACGAUAAGACCCUAUAAAACUUUACUAUAUAGUUAGAUCUCCUUAGGCAAGAUUGAGGUCUAUAGUUUAACUGGGGCGGUUUAUAUACAAACAAUUGAAAUAGAAAAUAUUCUUAUAGAUUCAGAGAGCUCUAAAAUGAAAUGAACAAGUUACUUUAGGGAUAACAGCAUAAUCCCCCCAGAGAGUCCUAAUUGGCGGGGGGGCUUAUGACCUCGAUGUUGAAUUGGGGUGUCUAAUAUAAGUAGAAAUAUAUUAAGAUA
rnacentral:rRNA from 1 species